CAGCCGCCACGGUAAUACGUAGGGUGCGAGCGUUAAUCGGAAUUACUGGGCGUAAAGCGUGCGCAGGCGGUUGUACCAGACAGAUGUGAAAUCCCCGGGCUUAACCUGGGAAUGGCAUUUGUGACUGUACGGCUAGAGUGUGUCAGAGGGGGGUAGAAUUCCACGUGUAGCAGUGAAAUGCGUAGAUAUGUGGAGGAAUACCGAUGGCGAAGGCAGCCCCCUGGGGUAACACUGACGCUCAUGCACGAAAGCGUGGGGAGCAAACAGGAUUAGAUACCCGAGUAGUCCCUGUCUCUUAUAC
rnacentral:rRNA from 1 species